CACCCACCAGCCAUGCCACAUGUUAAACAGUCAUCACCAGAGUGUCUGAAACCAAAUGUGUCUGAAUCAGUUAACCUUUGAAAGAGAAAUAACCUGGGCAACUUCACUGGCUGUGGCUCUCCUGUGUCCAGUGCCCCCAAAGAAAGCAUCAUAAGGACCAUCUCAGCACAAGAAUUAAAAAUGUGGAGUUGGCCAAUAUUACAACCAACUCUGUAUUGGAAGGUUCAGCUGUUAUGCUGCCUCUUACCUCUGACUCUCAGUUAGAUUGGACCAAAUAAAAGUACACAUAGGCCCAAGUAGAUUUUUGAUCACUUUUAUUAUGAAAAACAGUACAAAAGUAAGUCAAUAAGGAGGUGAUCUUCUAGAUAUGUACAAUAAAGGGCUUCCAAGAAAUCAUAUGGUAAAAGAGUUCAAGGACACAGCUGGAAGCUGCAUGUAGACUGUACACAGAGGCAUGGGUACUGCGUGGCUGAGGAGUGGGUGGGCAUUAAAGAGAGAGAAGUGAUGAAGUCCCUGGAGAUGGCCCCCUGUCCCCACCCCUGAGUCAUAACAGAAUUUGUUCUUGCUGCAGAGUGAAAGUUUGUGUUUGCUCAGGGGUUUAUAAACCCAUUCUGCAUUGUGAUCCUACAAAGAAAGACACACGUGAAAGGAAAUAACCCAAUAAUAGAAACAAAGCCUGACUAGAUCCUCAGCAGACACUUAGAGGGACAAAAGACAAUGGGAAAAAGUGGACCCUGGUGGCACCAUGUGUUAGGAACUCUUCCCAUUGCCAUCAAGCACUGGUCUCCCAAGUAAACAGAUGGUGAUGAUGAUGGAGUACAUCAGGCUCUUCAGGAGGAGGAGGAGGUAGGUGUAGUAGGCAGAGGUGUUCAUGAGCCGCAGCUGCAGGGUGUCUAAAAGAAGUAUUUUAUUAAUUUUACAGUUUUUAGAAAGGCCAAGACGUAUUCUUUGGAGAGGGGUGACUGUAUACAUUUCUGAUAACUUAGGUUGAAGUGACACUCUCACAUCAGCACCACUGGGUAAUAAAUACCUACAUCACCAUCACCACCACAGAGACAACUCAGAAUGGAGUUUGCAGGUCUAGUCAUUCAAAAAUCUAUGAAAUUCCCCUAGCACAUUCCAAAGUAUUAAAAAUUAUAUUGUCUUUAUAAUGAGUGAAUCCAAUGGGAAUAAAUGCAUUGGUGAUAAGUGACUUUUUUCACAUUCAUCCCCAUCAUGUCUUAAGAAGGAAUAAGUGGCAAUAUCCAUUAAGUACAAACUAAAUGUCACUUAUUUGAGAACUUUGCAUGCAAAACUUUAAUCUUAUUUAAUUUUUCAUUAACUUCUGAGAUAAUUACUUUCAUUCCCAAUUUACAAAUAAAGUAAGUAGAGAGAGAGGAGCCAUUUGCCUGAUUUCAUACAACUAGUAAGUACUAGAAUCCAGAUUUCAAUCCCAGCAACACAGCAUUGAAGAACACUUUCUCAGUUGCUCUAUAAUUCUGCAUCUCCACAUGCAAGAAACAAAAUAAUUAAGCAAAAAUAUAAAGUUAGAUGCUGCUGCUGCUGAAGAUGAUAAUGAUGUUACAGGAAAUGGUCAGAGUCCAGAAGUCCCUAAUAUUGGCCUUGGAGGGUGUAUCAGCAGGGCUAUAACCAAUGCUCCUCAUCAUUUCCUUUGUUCAUUAUGUGGGGAGAAAGAGCCAGGAGCUAGUACUUA
rnacentral:lncRNA from 1 species